rnacentral:rRNA from 1 species
AUCAGGGGUAAACCUGUGGAACUCGAACGAUCGAACGGGGAGAUUCAUUCAUCGCGGUUCCGCGCGGGUCCGCGGCGGGACGUUCGGCGGCGGCGGUUCGUCCGUCGUCGCCGUCGGUCCGUCGCUGUCGGGCCCCCGGAGCGCGUGCACUUCUCCCCCAGUACAACACCGCGACCCGUUCGUCGCGGCGGUCGAACGCGCCGUGCGGUUGUCCCGUCGUCGUCGGUAAAACGGCGGCGGCGGAGCCGCGGCGUCGCGGCCGCCGACGGACGGUAGAGAACGAGGUUCGCGUCCGCCGCACUUCGCGUGCGGCGUCCGUGGUGCUGCGGCGGCGCCCCCCGUUCGGACCUCGGCGCGCAAGCGUCGCGGGCUCCGGACGUUCGGUUUCGGGCGUCGCGUUCACACGCGGCAUCGUCUCGGACGGGACGCGUCCCGGUCGGCGGUGGUUUUGUUUCGGGCACUCACAGGACCC